GGCCUCCUCCGAGCCCAACAUCGACAAGGCAGCGCUGCUGGCGUUCCUCUCCGGCGUGGGCCGCGGCGCCACCGCCUGCCCGCGCUCAUGGGCCUCCACCUCCACCGCAACGCCUUCUCUAGCGCGCUCCCCACCGCCCUCGUGGGGCUGACCGCGCUCCAGGUGCUCGACCUCUCCUUCAACGCCUUCAACGGUGUCGUCCCCGGCGCGCUCGCCAACCUCACCUGCCUCGUCGCGCUCGACCUCUCCAACAACUCGUUGUCCGGCUGCGUGCGUGUGAGCAUGAUGUGUUGUGCUGUGACGACGACGCUCAACAACCUACCGCCUCUUGUCUCCAUUCUCAAGUUCUUCUGACAAUCAAUGUGUUUAGUUCAAAUAUUCACGUUACGAAUUCGAUGGCUAGAGUAGAAAAUUUGGAACUUCAGGGAGAAACAAUUUUAAAUAGGACUCAGGACUGCCUUAUCACAUUUACUUUGUGAUAAUGACAACUCAAAGUUGCUGGCAACUUGGCAUCUUGGUGAAAUGAUGGAACCCAACAUGAUCUGUCAGCAAAUUACUAUCUACUUUGUCAAUAUAAUGCACUACUUAACCUACUUUCCGUUUUCAAUUUUAGCGACUACCUUUCCAAACUUCUGCUUAUUGGUGAUUCUGGUGUUGGGAACUCAUGCUUACUUCUCAGAUUUGCAGAUGAUUCUUAUUUGGACAGCUAUAUCAGCACAAUUGGGGUUGAUUUCAAAAUUCGCACAGUGGAGCAAGAUGGGAAGACCAUAAAACUUCAAAUUGUGAACUAUAAAGUAAAAGGUAAAAUUUAUCCUUUUCAUUGAAGGACCUCUCAGAGAUAUUGAGGGAACUCUGAUCGCUACUGAAGGAGCUCUCAUGGCCAUUGAAUGACCUCUCUUUUCAUGGAAAAAUAGGUAACUUUAUUCAUGCUACAGCAGCGACUUUGAGCGAACAUGAGACCACUGAGCUCUGGAGUGAAUGAAGGACGUCGUCUUUGGAAGUCAGACAUCACCUAGAGCUAGGGUGUUCAUUCUCGACAUGUUUCUCUUAGUGAUAGGUGGAUACUGUCUAGUUAGGAACAGAGUAUUGAGGGAUUGAUGGACGCAUGCAUCUUCAAUUCCUGUGUGUUGUAUUACUACUGGUACAAUCUCCAAUUCUUGUGAACUUUUGUAUUUGGACUUGUGUGAAUUUGUGAUAUGAACAUAUAUCCAUGUGUUUGAAAUCU